CGGAAGGUCCAGGCGUUAUCCGGAUUUAUUGGGUUAAAGGGAGCGCAGGCGGACUCUUAAGUCAGUUGUGAAAUACGGCGGCUCAACCGUCGGACUGCAGUUGAUACUGGGAGUCUUGAGUGCACACAGGGAUGCUGGAAUUCAUGGUGUAGCGGUGAAAUGCUCAGAUAUCAUGAAGAACUCCGAUCGCGAAGGCAGGUAUCCGGGGUGCAACUGACGCUGAGGCUCGAAAGUGCGGGUAUCAAACAGGAUU
rnacentral:rRNA from 1 species